rnacentral:rRNA from 1 species
GGAAAGAUGAAAAGAACUUUGAAAAGAGAGUUAAACAGUACGUGAAAUUGUUGAAAGGGAAACGAUUGAAGUCAGUCGUGCUGGCGCGAAAUCAACCCUCUCGUCUGGAGAGACAUGUUGUGGCGAGCCUCAAAACCGCCACAGCAUGUCUCUCCCGACGAGGGGGAGCACUUUCGUGUCCGCUGGUUAACAUCAAUUUCGAACGUCAUAAAAAGGCUGGAGGGAUGUGGCUCCUUCGGGAGUGUUAUAACCUUUAGCGGAAUGUGGUGGUCGGGAUUGAGGAUUGCAACGAAUACCUUUAGGGCUGUUCCACCUGGCCUCUCUUUGGUAUCCUGGUGACGACAGCUUGCUGACGUCGUUAGGAUUCGCCUUUGAACAGGCUAGAGUGUGAGCAAAUUCGUUAAGGAUGUUAACGUAAUGGCUUUAAACGACCGUCUUGAAACACGGACCA